AUCCAAAACCUGACAUAGACUGCAGAGAAAGCUUGUUGGAGAAAGCCCUGGCUCCCUGGUAAAAGUGAGUGAAAAGAAGAAUUAUGAAAAUGCACUGAUUCUGCACUGGAAAGGUGAUGGGAAGAUCUUCAACCUAACUCUCUGAAAACACCCACCUGAAUUCUCUGAGCUCAACAGAGCAGCCCAAGGAUAAACCUUCCAGUAAAUCCCAUGUGACUGAAGAUAUAGGAGCCUGCCUGAAGACGUGUCCAGAAGCCAUCCCCAGUUACCCACACACUGCAGACUGAACCAGACAGGCUCAACUCUGCAAGAGGACAGAUCAUCCCACGUUUCCCUG